CAUUGUUAAUUUUUGCCUUGUGUUCAGUGCAACAUUUAUUAUACAGUGUCAUAUAAUUUUUUGUUAUUGCUACUUUGUUUUUUAUUUUUUAUGCCCAAACAGUAUUACAUGGAUAUCAGCUAAGUAUAAAUUUUUUUGAACCUCGUUUUUUGCAUCAUUAGAAGUUAUAUUUAUGAUCUAACAAAACAGGUUGCAAGAGAAUACUGAGAACAGACAGCAUCUCAAAUAACUUGCCCUUUGGUGGGUCACAGCUCAGUUCUCAGUUUCAGCUCAUCUUGUGCCAUUGGUGAGAGAACCUAAACCAGAGUUUGGAACAAAUGCAGGCCAGGUCACCCUCUGCACAAAAGAUACAGCAACACAAGAUGAGUAUUUCAGCCUUGUUAGGCCUGUAGGAACAGUGAGUAAAGGGUCCACAACUGGAUUAGUAAAACCUUAGGGAGAGCCAAAAAAACUAUGUUCAAGAGAAUGGCAAUAGCUUGUCCUUCGGUGGGGUCCCUGCUCGGUUCUCAAGCUGGCUUUAGCUCAUUAUGUGCCAUUACAGAGAGAACCUAAAGUAUUUGCAUACCAGACUGACCUAAUCCAAAAUACAGGCAGGUCUCCUACUUUCCACAGAUGCUGAGAAGACUUUCGACAGGGUGGACUGGGACUUCAUGUUCUCUACCUUGAGGGAAUUUGACUUUGAUACCAGCCUUAUAUACUCAUCCUUCAGGGAGACUUUGCAUAAACAGUGCCUUUUCGGAUCCCUUUGAGAUCCAAAAUGGUACUAAACAUGGGUGCCCACUGUCCAAGUGUUGUUUGCCC